rnacentral:rRNA from 1 species
UACAGAGGUCUCAAGCGUUGUUCGGAUUCAUUGGGCGUAAAGGGCGCGUAGGCGGCGGGGUAAGUCGGGUGUGAAAUCUCAGAGCUCAACUCUGAAAUGGCACUUGAUACUGCUCUGCUAGAGGACUGGAGAGGAGAUUGGAAUUCACGGUGUAGCAGUGAAAUGCGUAGAUAUCGUGAGGAAGACCGGUGGCGAAGGCGGAUCUCUGGACAGUUCCUGACGCUGGAGGCGCGGAAGGCCAGGGGAGCAAACGGG